AGUGAACGCUGGCGGUAGGCCUAACACAUGCAAGUCGAACGGCAGCACAGGAGAGCUUGCUCUCUGGGUGGCGAGUGGCGGACGGGUGAGGAAUACAUCGGAAUCUACUUUUUCGUGGGGGAUAACGUAGGGAAACUUAAGCUAAUACCGCAUACGACCUACGGGUGAAAGCAGGGGAUCUUCGGACCUUGCGCGAUUGAAUGAGCCGAUGUCGGAUUAGCUAGUUGGAGGGGUAAAGGCCCACCAAGGCGACGAUCCGUAGCUGGUCUGAGAGGAUGAUCAGCCGCACUGGAACUGAGAAACGGUCCAGACUCCUACGGGAGGCAGCAGUGGGGAAUAUUGGACAAUGGGCGCAAGCCUGAUCCAGCCAUACCGCGUGGGUGAAGAAGGCCUUCGGGUUGUAAAGCCCUUUUGUUGGGAAAGAAAUCCAGCUGGUUAAUACCCGGUUGGGAUGACGGUACCCAAAGAAUAAGCACCGGCUAACUUCGUGCCAGCCGCCGCCGUAA
rnacentral:rRNA from 1 species